rnacentral:tRNA from 1 species
GCCUCCGUAGCUCAGCGGACAGAGCAAAUCACUUCUAAUGAUUAGGUCGCAGGUUCGAUCCCUGCCGGGGGCACAU